rnacentral:rRNA from 1 species
CCUACGGGAGGCAGCAGUGGGGAAUAUUGGACAAUGGGGGCAACCCUGAUCCAGCCAUGCCGCGUGUGUGAAGAAGGCCCUCGGGUUGUAAAGCACUUUCAGCGAGGAAGAACGCCUAGCGGUUAAUACCCGCUAGGAAAGACAUCACUCGCAGAAGAAGCACCGGCUAACUCCGUGCCAGCAGCCGCGGUAAUACGGAGGGUGCAAGCGUUAAUCGGAAUUACUGGGCGUAAAGCGCGCGUAGGUGGCUUGAUAAGCCGGUUGUGAAAGCCCCGGGCUCAACCUGGGAACGGCAUCCGGAACUGUCAAGCUAGAGUGCAGGAGAGGAAGGUAGAAUUCCCGGUGUAGCGGUGAAAUGCGUAGAGAUCGGGAGGAAUACCAGUGGCGAAGGCGGCCUUCUGGACUGACACUGACACUGAGGUGCGAAAGCGUGGGUAGCAAACAGGAUUAGAUACCCUGGUAGUCCACGCCGUAAACGAUGUCGACCAGCCGUUGGGUGCCUAGCGCACUUUGUGGCGAAGUUAACGCGAUAAGUCGACCGCCUGGGGAGUACGGCCGCAAGGUUAAAACUCAAAUGAAUUGACGA